rnacentral:rRNA from 1 species
UACGUAGGGUGCUAGCGUUGUCCGGAUUUAUUGGGCGUAAAGAGCGUGUAGGCGGCCAGGUAGGUCUGCUGUGAAAACUCGAGGCUCAACCUCGAGACGUCGGCGGAAACCAUCCGGCUAGAGUCCGGAAGAGGAGAGUGGAAUUCCUGGUGUAGCGGUGAAAUGCGCAGAUAUCAGGAAGAACACCCGUGGCGAAGGCGGCUCUCUGGGACGGUACUGACGCUGAGACGCGAAAGCGUGGGGAGCGAACAGG